rnacentral:rRNA from 1 species
UACGUAGGGCGCAAGCGUUGUCCGGAAUUAUUGGGCGUAAAGAGCUCGUAGGCGGUUUGUCGCGUCUGCUGUGAAAACCUAAGGCUCAACCUUGGGCUUGCAGUGGGUACGGGCAGACUAGAGUGCGGUAGGGGUGACUGGAAUUCCUGGUGUAGCGGUGGAAUGCGCAGAUAUCAGGAGGAACACCGGUGGCGAAGGCGGGUCUCUGGGCCGAUACUGACGCUGGAGGUGCGAAAGCGUGGGGAGCAAACAGG